rnacentral:rRNA from 1 species
AGUGAACGCUGGCGGUAGGCCUAACACAUGCAAGUCGAACGGCAGCACAGUAAGAGCUUGCUCUUACGGGUGGCGAGUGGCGGACGGGUGAGGAAUACAUCGGAAUCUACUUUUUCGUGGGGGAUAACGUAGGGAAACUUACGCUAAUACCGCAUACGACCUACGGGUGAAAGCAGGGGAUCUUCGGACCUUGCGCGAUUGAAUGAGCCGAUGUCGGAUUAGCUAGUUGGCGGGGUAAAGGCCCACCAAGGCGACGAUCCGUAGCUGGUCUGAGAGGAUGAUAGGCCCCACUGGAACUGAGACACGGCCCAGAUCCCUACGGGAGGCAGAAGUGGGGAAUAUUGGACAAGGGGCGCAAGCCUGAUCCAGCCAUACCGCGUGGGUGAAGAAGGCCUUCGGGUUGUAAAGCCCUUUUGUUGGGAAAGAAAAGCAGCAGGUUAAUACCCCGCUGUUCUGACGGUACCCAAAGAAUAGACACCGGCAAACUUCGG